rnacentral:lncRNA from 1 species
UAAAUUAUACAGUAAACAGCAGCCAAAAAAAAUAAAAAUUACUUCAAUUUCCCGUUAAAAAAUCUUUAACAAACGAAAAACACUUUCUACAACCACCCCCUACCCCCACCCAAAAAAAAAAAAAAAAAGAGCUUACAGUCAGGAUUAACGCAGCCCGUUGAACAGGAAUCGUAGCAGCUGACGCCUUGGGAUUCAACGCCCUCCAUGUUUACUGAAAAUAUGACCAGAAGUGUCGCUAAAACUAUUAUCAGCAUCUUCUUCUCCAUUUUUCCACAAUUGUACAAUCUUGAUCUGAAUUUUUGAAGUACAACUGUGAAAUUCUGCUAUUUAUAGAAAUAGUUUAACCCAAGUUGGAGCGAAUUUUUCGACUAGACCAUUUAAGUCAGAGUCAAAAAAUGGAUGCAAUUUGGCUUAAGGAUGGGGCUUCGUGUGGCUCAUCUAUUCUGGGCCUGGAAAAUAUCCUAUUGUGAAUAGAAUGGAUUGGCUUGUUGGUGGUAAGGAAAAAAU